UGAUGAUUUCAUGUUUUACCAUCUUUCGGGACUGAUGUGGGACUGAUGAUAAACAUGUAUCUCUGAUCGCCC